AUGGAUUCUUUAUCUGUUGUUUUGGUGGAAAUUUUGAUCUCGGCCACCACAGGAGCUCUCCUCCACGCCCUCGUGGGGCGGCCAUGCUGCUCUGAUUCCGAGCUCCCCACAUCGUUGCAUGGCCUGUGCCAGGUCCAAGAUGGAGAAGGACGCCAGAGCCAGCCUCAUGCACCCCUGUGUCUGUGUGCGCACAAAGAUUGGUUGCAGGAGUACAAUGAGAAAUAUAAGAUUUUCUCUACAAAGCCAGCAUUGGAUGCUGGCAAAAUUGAAGAAAAACUCUCCAGGAAAUUGAAUAAAUAG
rnacentral:rRNA from 1 species